UUUAGUUCGAUUUUUGCAAUUUUAUGGCUGCAAUUUUCAGCGGAUUUAUGGUUCGAUUUUAGGGUUCGAAUUUCAGAGAUUUAGUGUUCGAAUUUCAGCAAUAUUAGGUAAUUUCUGCACUAUAAUUGGUUAUUUAUUGUUUUUUUAUUGGUGUGGUGGUGCUCUGGUGGACUGAAAUGGUGGUCUGGCGGUGGUUUAAUUGUUGUUUUGAGGUGCGUGGAUUGGUGGAAGUGGGUUGAUGCGUGUUGCAAGGGUGGUAAACCUAGCUCUAUUGCGUAAAUUGUGGCUGUUUGUGGGUGAUUUUCUUUUUUUGAGAGUAAUAAUUUCUUUUAAGCUUGCGAUUCUAGCUUGUGAAUGCUUUGAGAUGUGUAAGUAAUAUUUUUGGGCUUUUUCUAAGCAUGUACCGUGUAUACAGAUGUUGAUUGUUGAAGACAUACUAGGCUGAUUCUUUUUGGUGGAUGAAUAUUUGGUGAUUCACAACCUUGGGAAAGAGACUGAAAUUAUGUUUCAAAUAGGAAAACACAUGUUUAAAGAAAUUUUUAAUUUUUGCUUCUUAGGAGUAAUAUUCUAUAUCUCAUCCUCCCAAAUUCCUACAAUUCCAUUUUGUCUAUGCUCCAUGUCAGCUGAAGUUGAAAAUAGUGAUCUGAAAAUGUAAAGAAACUAUACUUUAUGAUCUUUUUCACACUAGUGUUUAGUAGCUUGUGUUUCUUGGAAAUUACUUAUCAAUUUACCUUUCUUUUUUCCAAGCACUUACUGUAGUAGUGCCAACUUUGCUAAGAUUUCUUCUUCUUCUUUUUCUUUUUUUCCCUUUUUUUUUUUGUUGUUGUAACUAGGUGCAUAGUCCUGGAGCUGAUAUAGAUACCCUAUGUGUUGGCCCUAGACAUGCUACGCGAGAGGAAGAUUUCUUUGGAGAACUCCACAGUAUGCUUUCUGAGAUGCCUGAGGUUAUAGAGUUGCACCCUGUGCCUAAUGAUUUUGUCCCGAUGAUGAGAAUUAAGUUCAAUGGGGUGUCCAUAGAUCUUUAUACAAAAUUGUUGCAUUUGAGUUGCUACAUGUGAUUGUUUUCCUCUGCUUCUAUGGGAGGGUUUUGAUCUAUAUUAAAAACCUAUUAGCUCAAGUGGUAGAGCUCUAUGCAAAUGCAUAGAUGAUGUAGCUUCGAAUCCUACAUAGGCUAUAUUUAUAAAUAACUAUAUAAAAAAAAACUU